rnacentral:misc_RNA from 1 species
GGAGAGGUAGGGGGGGACGAGAAGAAAAGAGAGGAAGGAAAGAAGGUGUAUGUUUGUGAGGAAUACUUGAAUAUUUUCGUCCAAGGAAUUUUGUCGUCUUAAAUUUGUGGAAUUCAUUUCAAAUUCCAUAAAAUUUUUAUGGGAAUUGAUUUUAGUUAUAAUCAAUUUCAUGGAAUUUGAUUCUAAAAUUUUUACAAACUAAACACAUAAUAUAUGGAAUUUAGUUAAAUUCUACAAAAUUUUGGGGAAUUCAAACCAAAUAUCCCCUUGGUUUCUGUAGAACUAGGGAAUAUUUUCAUAUUUAAAUAAAUCAGGGAACUUGUUUAAUUUUUUAGAAUUCAUUUAAUUUUUUAGAAUUCA